AUUGAACGCUGGCGGCAGGCCUAACACAUGCAAGUCGAACGGUAACAGAAAGCAGCUUGCUGCUUUGCCGACGAGUGGCGGACGGGUGAGUAAUGUCUGGGAAACUGCCUGAUGGAGGGGGAUAACUACUGGAAACGGUAGCUAAUACCGCAUAACGUCGCAAGACCAAAGAGGGGGACCUUCGGGCCUCUUGCCAUCGGAUGUGCCCAGAUGGGAUUAGCUAGUAGGUGGGGUAAAGGCUCACCUAGGCGACGAUCCCUAGCUGGUCUGAGAGGAUGACCAGCCACACUGGAACUGAGACACGGUCCAGACUCCUACGGGAGGCAGCAGUGGGGAAUAUUGCACAAUGGGCGCAAGCCUGAUGCAGCCAUGCCGCGUGUAUGAAGAAGGCCUUCGGGUUGUAAAGUACUUUCAGCGGGGAGGAAGGGAGUAAAGUUAAUACCUUUGCUCAUUGACGUUACCCGCAGAAGAAGCACCGGCUAACUCCGUG
rnacentral:rRNA from 1 species